GUCUCCUACAUGACUGAUGAAAUGUGGAACAAACUGGUUGAAAAGUGGAUGAAUCCCAAAAACUUGCAAACAGCAGAGAAGAACACGCAAAACCGUGGCGAAGUCAAGUUCCACCAGACAACGGGUUCUCGCUGCUAUGUUGCACAGCUGCAUGAAUAUACACAAAAGAAAAUGGCUACAACACGUGCAAAUCAAGAAGAUGCUAUUGGAGAACUUGAAGAACCCGCUGAUGGGGACCAAGAAGAUGCC